rnacentral:lncRNA from 1 species
AAAAUAAACAUCCAUCAUUCAUGAAUGCCAUCAUUGUAAAGAAGAAAAACAUAUCUCAAACCAUUCAAAUACUUGUCAAAGUGGUUCUACAUCAAGUUCUAAUUCUAAGUGGUUCUACAUCAAAGACAAAAGGGAAAGGAAGUCCACUUUAAGCUAGAGAAGUAAAGCUACCCAACCACAACCACUUUUUGAUGAGCAAGCUGAGAAGCCACACUCUUUCUAAUAUGCAAUCUUCACAGCUCAAAGCAGCCACAACAUGCGAG